rnacentral:rRNA from 1 species
AGCGAACGCUGGCGGCAGGCUUAACACAUGCAAGUCGAGCGGGCACUUCGGUGUCAGCGGCAGACGGGUGAGUAACACGUGGGAACGUGCCCUUCGGUUCGGAAUAACUCAGGGAAACUUGAGCUAAUACCGGAUACGCCCUUUGGGGGAAGGGUUUACUGCCGAAGGAUCGGCCCGCGUCUGAUUAGCUAGUUGGUGGGGUAAUGGCCUACCAAGGCGACGAUCAGUAGCUGGUCUGAGAGGAUGAUCAGCCACACUGGGACUGAGACACGGCCCAGACUCCUACGGGAGGCAGCAGUGGGGAAUAUUGGACAAUGGGCGCAAGCCUGAUCCAGCCAUGCCGCGUGAGUGAUGAAGGCCUUAGGGUUGUAAAGCUCUUUCGACGGGGACG